CGAGGCAAAGCCGCGAGGCGGAGCGAAUCGCUAAAAGCCGUCCCAGUUCGGAUUGCAGGCUGCAACCCGCCUGCAUGAAGUUGGAAUCGCUAGUAAUCGCGGAUCAGCAUGCCGCGGUGAAUACGUUCCCGGGCCUUGUACACACCGCCCGUCACACCAUGAGAGUUGGCAAUACCCAACGUACGUGAUCUAACCCGCAAGGGAGGAAGCGUCCUAAGGUAGGGUCAGCGAUUGGGGUGAAGUCGUAACAAGGUACC
rnacentral:rRNA from 1 species